rnacentral:rRNA from 1 species
AGGGUUUGAUCAUGGCUCAGGAUGAACGCUAGCGGCAGGCUUAACACAUGCAAGUCGAGGGGUAACAUUGUGCUUGCACAGAUGACGACCGGCGCACGGGUGCGUAACGCGUAUAGAACCUACCUUUUACAGAGGGAUAGCCUUAGAAAUGAAGAUUAAUACCUCAUAGUAUUAUUGAAUGGCAUCAUUUAAUAAUUAAAGAUUUAUCGGUAAAAGAUGGCUAUGCGUCCUAUUAGUUAGUUGGUAAGGUAACGGCUUACCAAGACAUCGAUAGGUAGGGGCCCUGAGAGGGGGAUCCCCCACACUGGUACUGAGACACGGACCAGACUCCUACGGGAGGCAGCAGUGAGGAAUAUUGGGCAAUGGAGGCGACUCUGACCCAGCCAUGCCGCGUGCAGGAAGACUGCCCUAUGGGUUGUAAACUGCUUUUAUACAGGAAGAAACACUGGUAUGUAUACCAGCUUGACGGUACUGUAAGAAUAAGGACCGGCUAACUCCGUGCCAGCAGCCGCGGUAAUACGGAGGGUCCGAGCGUUAUCCGGAAUCAUUGGGUUUAAAGGGUCCGCAGGCGGUCAAUUAAGUCAGAGGUGAAAUCCCAUAGCUCAACUAUGGAACUGCCUUUGAUACUGGUUGACUUGAGUUAUACGGAAGUAGAUAGAAUGUGUAGUGUAGCGGUGAAAUGCAUAGAUAUUACACAGAAUACCGAUUGCGAUGGCAGUCUACUACGUAUAUACUGACGCUCAUGGACGAAAGCGUGGGGAGCGAACAGGAUUAGAUACCCUGGUAGUCCACGCCGUAAACGAUGGAUACUAGUUGUUGGGCAUUAGCUCAGUGACUAAGCGAAAGUGAUAAGUAUCCCGCCUGGGGAGUACGGUCGC